GACGAACGCUGGCGGCGUGCCUAACACAUGCAAGUCGAACGGAGAAAUUAUUUCGGUAAUUUCUUAGUGGCGAACGGGUGAGUAACACGUAAACAACCUGCCUUUUAGAUGGGGACAACAUCUCGAAAGGGAUGCUAAUACCGAAUGUUUUAGCUUUACCGCAUGGCAGAGCUAAUAAAGGUGGCCUCUAUUUAUAAGCUACCGCUAAAAGAGGGUUUGCGUCUGAUUAGCUAGUUGGUGGGGUAACGGCUCACCAAGGCAAUGAUCAGUAGCCGGUCUGAGAGGAUGAACGGCCACACUGGGACUGAGACACGGCCCAG
rnacentral:rRNA from 1 species